GUGCUCAUUUAGGCAGCACAUAUACUAAAACUGGAAUAAUAACAGGAAGAUGAGCAUGGUACCUGCCCAUGGAUGACACAUAAACUAGUCAAGAGUUCUAUUAUUUU
ensembl:snRNA U6 U6 spliceosomal RNA